UCUACAAUAAAACUCUAAAACCAUAGAUGGUC
rnacentral:piRNA from 1 species